UACGGGGGGGGCAAGCGUUGUUCGGAAUUACUGGGCGUAAAGGGCUUGUAGGUGGCCAACUAAGUCAGACGUGAAAUCCCUCGGCUUAACCGGGGAACUGCGUCUGAUACUGGAUGGCUUGAGUGUGGGAGAGGGAUGCGGAAUUCCAGGUGUAGCGGUGAAAUGCGCAGAUAUCAGGAAGAACACCCGUGGCGAAGGCGGUUCUCUGGGACGGUACUGACGCUGAGACGCGAAAGCGUGGGGAGCGAACAGG
rnacentral:rRNA from 1 species